CCUUGCACACAGCACCUCUGGAU
rnacentral:piRNA from 1 species